GGGGUCCCUAUGGGUCCCUAUGGGUCUCUAUGGGUCCCACCCCAGACCGGAAGUGCCCCUCUCCCCCCCACUUCCGCCUCCUCCGCUCUGCCCCACUUUCCCACCGGAAGUAGUUUUAACCUCCCCCCUCUACUGCGCAUGCGCGACUCCCGUGACCGAAAGGGGGCGUGGUUUCAGGGUUAGCCCCGCCCCCAUCGUCGUUUCGCGCAUGCGCAGAGCGGACACGGCGGCGGCCGGAGCGGAGAGAGGGGCGGCGCCAUGAUGGCGGCUCAGGGGGGAGGAGACGGAGCCACCGAAGACGACGAUGGAGCAUCCACCGGAGCGUCAGCGCCCCCCGAUGACGGGGAGGACUCAGAGGAGACGUCGGUGUCGUCGGGGGAGAGCGGACCCCCAACACCCCCCCCAAGUAACGGCUGCGCAGGUUCCCGCAGCCGUUCCCCCCCCCCCACCCUCAGACCCAGCGGAGGAUCCCGAACUGGUGGGGGUGGGUGUGUCGGCCCUAUACAUUCUAUAGGUCCCAGCCCCAUAGAAUGGCACCAAUGCCCCGAAUGCGGCCGAGGGUUCGGUACAUCCCGAGCCCUUAAAGUCCAUCGUAGUUACCAUAUAGGGAGGAAAAGACCCCAAAGUGGGGCUGGGGGGGGUGGGGGGGGGGUGGUGGACCCC